CACGUAGGGUGCGAGCGUUGUCCGGAAUUAUUGGGCGUAAAGAGCUCGUAGGCGGUGUGUCGCGUCGGCCGUGAAAACCUGCAGCUUAACUGUGGGCUUGCGGUCGAUACGGGCAUCACUGGAGUUCGGCAGGGGAGACUGGAAUUCCUGGUGUAGCGGUGAAAUGCGCAGAUAUCAGGAGGAACACCGGUGGCGAAGGCGGGGUCUC
rnacentral:rRNA from 1 species